GAGAUUCUAGUAAAACAAUAUUACAUUGCCUUGUCAGGGCAAAAUCGUGAGUUUAAACCCCACGAAUCUUA
rnacentral:tRNA from 1 species